UACGAAGGGGGCUAGCGUUGCUCGGAAUUACUGGGCGUAAAGGGCGCGUAGGCGGACAGUUUAGUCAGAGGUGAAAGCCCAGGGCUCAACCUUGGAAUUGCCUUUGAUACUGGCUGUCUUGAGUUCGGGAGAGGUGAGUGGAAUGCCGAGUGUAGAGGUGAAAUUCGUAGAUAUUGGGAAGAACACCAGUGGCGAAGGCGGCUCACUGGUCCGAUACUGACGCUGAGGUGCGAAAGCGUGGGGAGCAAACAGG
rnacentral:rRNA from 1 species